rnacentral:lncRNA from 1 species
GUGAAACUCGGAAGUUGGAACCAGAUUGCAAGUGGCGCGUGGCCCCGUGGGGAGGUCCGAUGGCAAGUGUAAGGAAGUGAAUUCUCGAAAUCCGAGAGUUGUACUUCGUCCAGAAUCGAUUAAUUGUUGAGUGGGUAUGCUUCGGAAAAGCCGAAGAUGUCUAAAGCACCAAAAGUGCAUUGGAUGGAGUCCACGAGAGCUAAUAGUGCAAAAGUCUGCACUUGGUAGGUUCAGCUCUCGGGGACCCGUCCCUGGUACGAGGGACCUGUUCCCAUA